rnacentral:rRNA from 1 species
UACGAAGGGGGCUAGCGUUGCUCGGAAUUACUGGGCGUAAAGGGAGCGUAGGCGGGUUAUCAAGUUGGAGGUGAAAGCCCAGGGCUCAACCUUGGAAUUGCCUUCAAAACUGAUAGCCUAGAGUAUGAUAGAGGUAAGUGGAACUCCGAGUGUAGAGGUGAAAUUCGUAGAUAUUCGGAAGAACACCAGUGGCGAAGGCGACACACUGGGCCAUUACUGACGCUGAGGCGCGAAAGCGUGGGGAGCAAACAGG